rnacentral:lncRNA from 1 species
CAUGAGCCAAGGGCCAUCGCUGUGAUAGUGUGAGCUCGGGUAAGUUUGGUGCUACCUCUUUUCUUUUGUUUGUUAUUUUCUUUGAAUAAGAGGAUUAAGAGUUUCUGAAUAUUAUAAAAUGAAUUAUAGAAUGGAAAUUUGAUUGGUAUUAUUUGAGAAGAAGAAAGAUUGAAUGCUGAAAUCUGAUUGUAGUUCAGCAGAGAGAAUGAGUCUGUAUUUGUGUGAAACAUUGUAAUGUGAAUGGCAGUUCUGUGUGAAGAAUUCAAGUGAUUGAAACGAGGGUAAUUGUGUGCUGAAAGCUGUGAGGGCGUAGUAUUACAGUUGGAGAUUAUGAGGUUGAAUAUAUUGGUAGAAAUAGCAGUUAUUGGUAUGAUUGAAUUGCUGUAAGGAAGAGACCGAUAAGGUGAAGGAGGAAAUUAUAGUUUCUUUG